GACAGAGGGUGCAAACGUUGCUCGGAAUCACUGGGCGGAAAGGGCGUGUAGGCGGGAAUGUAAGUCGGGCGUGAAAUCCCUAGGCUCAACCUAGGAACUGCACUCGAAACUGCGUUUCUUGAGUAUCGGAGAGGAAAGCGGAAUACCUGGUGUAGAGGUGAAAUUCGUAGAUAUCAGGUGGAACACCAGUGGCGAAGGCGGCUUUCUGGACGAUAACUGACGCUGAGACGCGAAAGCGUGGGGAGCAAACAGG
rnacentral:rRNA from 1 species